CUCAGGAGAGCUGGCGAUGCUGGGAGUGGUUCAGCCGCAUCGAGGAAAGGACCCCUUCCUUCAUAGGCUCCUGCAGUGAUCCUGAUUGCACAGGUCGCCCUCUCGCGCUGUGUGCGCUGGUGCUAGGGUUUGGCCUUAACUGCACUGAUUGAAUCUUAGCCACCCUGUUCAGGUCUUAUUUUCAGGCAGAGUUUGAGAAUCAUCCUAGAGGCACCAACAGUUAAGCAUUCUCUUCUUGGCAACUGCUUUGGAUAUACUUUGCUAGACGUAAGAUACCUGUAAAUAUUGAAUGCGUAUGUUAAUGCAGAACAGAAGCAUACCCAAGGACAUCCCCAAACUCCACCGUAGUUUUCUGUCUGUUGUAGAUUUGGCAGAGUAACUCUUUGCUGGAAGCCAUUGAUGGACACUGCUGUUUAACCAGAUGUACCAGUCUGUCCAGAAUCAGACCUGUCAGGCUGCAAAUGGAGGAUGUCGAUGCAACAUUGCUCUGUGCCAGAGGAUAGGAGUGAAGCAAGGGACGGAUCCUAGGAAUCUAAGCACUGGCUUCAGGAUGCACCUAACUCUGCAGACCCUGUUCCAAGGUAAGUGGAAGCUUCUUAGACGCAAGGUGAAGAACUGUGAGGCGCACAGCUGGGCCUUGUUUCCUGUACCCAGUCCUC